UUUAAAGGGUGAAUGGGAUGAAGAAGAAUGUGUUUCAGAGUGGAAAAAUACAGAGCUCGUCUCUCUGAACAUCUGGAGGUGAAACAACUAGUGAGGUUUUUGGAAGAAGAAGCCGAUGCUGGGUUCCAACUUCUACUGAAUCAAGGAAGCGCUUCGGGUAGCAGCAAAGGCUGUCGUUCUUGACUUACAGCCUGAGAUGAAGAUAAUGAAGGAAAUCAAGCUGAAAGGAACUCCUCUAAAAAUCAAGCAGAGGAAGUCUCUUAUCAAGUUUGAACCAGAAGAU